rnacentral:rRNA from 1 species
GACUCUGGGAUAAGCCUGGGAAACUGGGUCUAAUACCGGAUAUGACUCCUCAUCGCAUGGUGGGGGGUGGAAAGCUUUUGUGGUUUUGGAUGGACUCGCGGCCUAUCAGCUUGUUGGUGGGGUAAUGGCCUACCAAGGCGACGACGGGUAGCCGGCCUGAGAGGGUGACCGGCCACACUGGGACUGAGACACGGCCCAGACUCCUACGGGAGGCAGCAGUGGGGAAUAUUGCACAAUGGGCGGAAGCCUGAUGCAGCGACGCCGCGUGAGGGAUGACGGCCUUCGGGUUGUAAACCUCUUUCAGUAGGGAAGAAGCGUAAGUGACGGUACCUGCAGAAGAAGCGCCGGCUAACUACGUGCCAGCAGCCGCGGUAAUACGUAGGGCGCAAGCGUUAUCCGGAAUUAUUGGGCGUAAAGAGCUCGUAGGCGGUUUGUCGCGUCUGCUGUGAAAGACCGGGGCUCAACUCCGGUUCUGCAGUGGGUACGGGCAGACUAGAGUGCAGUAGGGGAGACUGGAAUUCCUGGUGUAGCGGUGAAAUGCGCAGAUAUCAGGAGGAACACCGAUGGCGAAGGCAGGUCUCUGGGCUGUAACUGACGCUGAGGAGCGAAAGCAUGGGGAGCGAACAGGAUUAGAUACCCUGGUAGUCCAUGCCGUAAACGUUGGGCACUAGGUGUGGGGGACAUUCCACGUUUUCCGCGCCGUAGCUAACGCAUUAAGUGCCCCGCCUGGGGGAGUACGGCCGCAAGGCUAAAACUCA